CUAACACACACAGCGCCCUAACACUCAGUAACCUAACACACACAGAACCCUCACACAGCACCCUAAUACACAGCACCCUAACACAUCACCCUAACACACACACCACCCUAACACACACAGCGCCCUAACGCUCAGUGCCCUAACACACACAGCGCCCUAACACUCAGUGCCCUAACACACACAGAACCCUCACACACCACCCUCGCACAGCAUCAUAACACACAUAGCACCCUAACAC